GUGAGUUUACCCAGUGGAACGAUGGACAAGGUCGCCGGGAGAGCGAGCAGCGCCUUGCGGCCGUAUCUAUCGGAGAGGUUGCCGAUGACCGGCGUCACCACGAGCGCCCCCAGCCCGGUGAUCUGCAUCAGGUGA
rnacentral:rRNA from 1 species